rnacentral:tRNA from 1 species
GGUCCCAGAGGCUUAAUGGUCUACGAGCUUGCCUUGUAACCAAGAAGUCCUGGGUUCGAACCCCUGUGGGUCCG